CACUGUGUUUGUGAUUCAGCUGCAAGGACUAUACAAAAGGAAGGUGGAAAAAACAGUUACCAUUCCACAUUAAACUUAAAAGGGAAUCAUGAGGAUCUCAUUUGCUUGUUUGCUGUUGCUUUCUGCUACAGUGAGCUCUCAGAAUGAGCCUUUCAUAAAGUUUAAAAAUCAGCACAUCAUCGGGAGCAUGGAUGUAAACAGUUGUGACCAGGUGAUAGAGGAGAGAGGGAUCGCCAAAGCUGACAGUAACAGGUGUAAAGAUGACCAUAUCUUCGUACUAGCAAACACCGACCGAGUCAAUAAUGUAUGUCGGCUUGCAGGAGAGCCAUAUGGUGUUUAUACCGAAAGCCUCCAACCCUUCGACAUUGUCAUCUGCAGUCUGAAGAACCAAGGGGCCCGUAGACCCCACUGUCAGUACCAAGGUCAAAGCCUCACCAGGAAAAUUGCAUUCAGAUGUGAAGAAGGCUUCCCAGUUUACUACGGCAGAGACAAUGUUGCGUACUUUCCCAACUAACUACUCACUUCACC